rnacentral:rRNA from 1 species
GACGAACGCUGGCGGCGUGCUUAACACAUGCCAGUCGAACGGAAAGGCCCUGCUUGCAGGGUACUCGAGUGGCGAACGGGUGAGUAACACGUGGGUGAUCUGCCCUGCACUUCGGGAUAAGCCUGGGAAACUGGGUCUAAUACCGGAUAGGAGCCAUUUUUAGUGUGAUGGUUGGAAAGUUUUUUCGGUGUAGGAUGAGCUCGCGGCCUAUCAGCUUGUUGGUGGGGUAAUGGCCUACCAAGGCGGCGACGGGUAGCCGGCCUUAGAGGGUGGACGGCCACAUUGGGACUGAGAUACGGCCCAGACUCCUACGGGAGGCAGCAGUGGGGAAUAUUGCACAAUGGGCGCAAGCCUGAUGCAGCGACGCCGCGUGGGGGAUGACGGCCUUCGGGUUGUAAACUCCUUUCGCUAGGGACGAAGCUUUUUGUGACGGUACCUAGAUAAGAAGCACCGGCUAACUACGUG